GCCCGUUUAGCUCAGUGGUAGAGCGCGCCACUCGUAAUAAUGUAAUGGUGAGGUCGGUUGUUCAAUCCAGCCAAUGGGCA